AAAGUUGCCCAUGCGAAAGUGUCCUAAUAUUGUCCUACAUAGGUCUAUAUCCUCUGUAGCCUGCCUCUGCGAGAACCUCGCACGACAGAGACAGGGUUUCGAAUUUCACAGUCAAUACAGUGGGCUUGCCUUCACACUCAUUUCAAGCACAAAGGAAAGAUGUGCAAAAAUGAUAUUGUAAACGUAACGUUUCGAUUUUAUUUAGCUAAUAUGUUUCUUUUUAUUCUAUACAUAGGCCUAAAACACAGGUUAAGCGUUGCGAUCCAUGAAAGGGGGCUGAUAGCGGCAUAUUCCGUGAAAGUAGGGAAGUAAAGUUAGGCUACAGGUAAAGCGGGCAAACAACAGUCUGGUAAGAGUCAAUAACAAAGACCCAAAGGACUCCACAAAUCCGGUGAAAAUAAGGUGAAAAUGGAAGACUUCGCUUGAGAAAUUCGUCCGAUUAUAAAAGAGGAACGUAAAGAACCAUGAUCCGAUGAAAAAAGAAUGCUAAACUUACCAGACAUGUUGUACAAAUUAAGAAGUACUCCUGGAAGAAGAGCAGUUAUGAGAUUCCACAAUGUCCUUUUCUGGCUGAGUUAUAUGGGCUAUAUCGAAAUAUUCAUAAAAGUCACAUAAAUUCUCAACACACAAGUCUUAAAACUGUCUCAGAGCAUACAAUAAUACCCUAAUAUAGCUAGGGAUAUAUUAGUUUGUGAAAUUUUCUCUCCAUGCCUACUUUUUAAAACCCCUAGAACUCAAUGAUUUGACAAUGAUUUGAUUGCGCGUUACUUUCAAUUUGAAUAUUCAAAGGCUACUCAAAAAUACAGAUUUUUCAGUAUAAAUCAAUACAUAUGCACUUAAAAUAACAUUUCAUUUAAUAUAAUUUAAUAAUAGUUUAUACCCAAACCAAAAAGAAAUUGACAUUUUGAACAUUUUAUCCAUCUUUUGCCAAUCUGCCCAUCAGUCCCUCUUCAUAAUGAGGCACAACAGGAAAGUAACGGUUAGAUGUUCUAUGUAAACAUGACCAACAAUUAAACAUCGCAGAUCAUAUGUAUUUCAGGAUGGAUGAGCACAUCAAAACGGUAUGACCAUACAUUUUUAGUCUUAUUUUAAACAAUAAACUAUGACAUGUCUAGGUUGUGGGCGUGGCAUAUGGUAGCAGCCAUUUCUGCCACCACUGACUCCAUUGCUCCCUCAGCAAUUGCAUGCUCCCCAUCACUGGAACUCACAUCACCCACGUCUUACCAAUUGUAUUAUAUUUGUUUUAGCAUUAUUUAGUGUAGUUACAUGAAUUAUAUAAUAUAAAGACUGAACGUUUCAGCUAUUCACAUGUCAAACCUGAUUUGACAUCCCAGGUCUCCUAUAUAUGAAUCGAGAAUACUAUCUACAAAUGUAUUACAAUGCAACAAUUCGGUUUACAAACGUCUGAUAUAUUUUCAAUUCAAUGACAAGACUCCCCGAUUAGUCUACUUGUGUAGGCUAGAACUACUUAGAUGUGGACAAAGUCAUUUCAAUUGAUAGACUUAUUUGAAUAGGGUUACUGUCCAUACCAGUUUACAUUUCUAAGAGUUUACAACUUAAUACAUAUGAUAUGAGAAAACAGCACAUUGCUUUAGAGAAAACCAUUUCCUAUAAAUGUUCUUCCAUUGUGAGCCUACAUUACAUUUGAAUAACAAUUUACAAACACAUCAAACAAUGAACUCUUGAACCUAGUUUUAAUUCAAAUAGCUUAGAUUUCAGUUUUGGGUUAUCGAUCUAUCAUUAUCCUCACUCAUAUAUUGAGAAAAUGCACACACUAUCUGCCCAAUACAAUCUAUGGCCUUUCCUGAUUUGUACUGGUAGGGGCCUAUACAAUGAUCCCUAUCAUGUAGGCCUAAAUCCCAUCAUCUCCACUGGGUAGGUAAUAUAAUAAUAAUAAUAUAUGCCAUUUAGCAGACGCUUUUAUCCAAAGCGACUUACAGUCAUGUGUGCAUACAUUCUACGUAUGGGUGGUCCCGGGAAUCGAACCCACUACCCUGGCGUUACAAGCGCCAUGCUCUACCAACUGAGCUUUUUGUAUUGACAAACUUCUGACCUUCCAUAAAGUAGGACCUAGGUCCAUUAUCCUAACUACCAAGAAUAUUAUGCUAGUGCUCUCAUAGAAUAUCUAACGUUUGGCUUUUUUUAUUAAUUUAUUGCUGCUGUUGCAAUCCCCCCCAUGAAUUACGCUAUCGUAAGAGACGAGGUAACACGAAAGAACCGCGCCAUCUAGUGUAGGAUAUACGUUAGUAGGUUCUCCCUAAGUCUUAAUUCGAUGUCGUGAUAACAGAACAAAGUAUAACUCAACAAACGGAAAAGGCAUGUUUUUUUUCAUGUGUCAUUUUAGCAAAAAAAAUAUGUUAAAUGCAUUUAUUGCAGUGUCUUUUAUUAUAAUGGAUUUAUAAUAAAGAAUUCUACUGCCCUAUA